GACGAACGCUGGCGGCGUGCCUAAUACAUGCAAGUAGAACGCUGAAGGAGGAGCUUGCUUCUCUGGAUGAGUUGCGAACGGGUGAGUAACGCGUAGGUAACCUGCCUGGUAGCGGGGGAUAACUAUUGGAAACGAUAGCUAAUACCGCAUAAGAUUGACUAUUGCAUGAUAGUCAGUUAAAAGGUGCAAUUGCAUCACUACCAGAUGGACCUGCGUUGUAUUAGCUAGUUGGUGGGGUAACGGCUCACCAAGGCGACGAUACAUAGCCGACCUGAGAGGGUGAUCGGCCACACUGGGACUGAGACACGGCCCAGACUCCUACGGGAGGCAGCAGGAGGGAAUCUUCGGCAAUGGACGGAAGUCUGACCGAGCAACGCCGCGUGAGUGAAGAAGGUUUUCGGAUCGUAAAGCUCUGUUGUAAGAGAAGAACGAGUGUGAGAGUGGAAAGUUCACACUGUGACGGUAUCUUACCAGAAAGGGACGGCUAACUACGUG
rnacentral:rRNA from 1 species